UUCCUACUGACAUUCUUCAGGAAAUAAAGGAGAACGAUACAAAGAAGGUUAGUAUGGCCCCUGAAUGAGGAUGGCACACAAAUUCGUGAAAUGUUCCAUAUUAGA
ensembl:snRNA U6 U6 spliceosomal RNA